UUUCUUGUUAAGAAACAAUUUAGCAAGAUGGGUUUAAGCCCUGAGCCCCCAGUUACUUUGACCUCUUGUCCUGUCCUUACUCCUCAGAGAGCCACCUCUCGCUGCUGCUGGUUCCCCUGCAGGCCUCCAUCACUGGUGCUGACAGGAUCCAGGAUCCUGUCCUGGAUCCUGGAUCCUGGAUCCUGUCCAUGGCAGCAGCCAGGAUUUGGGCUGGCUUAGCUUUUGGGACAGGGCUCUUUGUCACAGCCACCACCGUGCUCUGCCCCUCUCACAAAUAGGAGGCAGUGUCCUAACUGGUGUGAUCCAGCCUCUUCAGUCACACAGGUGCAGAUCAAAUGAAGUCCAGAGCAGCGAAGGCCUUUGCUUUGUCUAACUGGUUAUUGCUGGGCGAUGCUGCUGAGAACAAGCAAACAAGAGAGAGACUAUGCAAGCUGGUAGCAUCACAAUAAUGUCAAGUUUUCUGUUUUCUGGAGCAAUUCUAAUACUUCUGUAACAUCUGGGCAUGCCAAGGCCUGCAUUACUGAUGAAGCUGAAUAUUUUUUCUUCUACCUUUUUCUUAGAAGAACAAUUAUGGCACUUACUUAUUCCACUGCUUCUCCCCCUCCCCCACAUUUUCCCUCUGACUACUUCUGCCCUGAUGACCUCUUUGAAGAUGCUUAAAAUAAUAUUCCAGGCUGACAGAAGAACCAGAAAGGGUGACUGUGAAUGAGGCUAAAAAAGAUAUCCCUUGUGUUUAUUGGACUGUGGACAGAAAAUAUGCUUGUUUAAUGAAGAAAGAAAAAGAAUUAGAUUCCCUCAAAACAAGAAGAAAAAGGACCUAGAACACUGUUAUCAUUCACCACUAAUGACAUGCUGUCUUAAAUUGUCCCAGAACUGAAAGAGAAUGUCAUCUUGCUUCUACUUUGGUAAAAGCAUUGACUCUUUGUGUGACAGC